GGAAAACCGCUUGGAAAAUAAAGACAUGACUUCCUGAAAGUACCAUCUGGACAAUAUUUUCUUUCAGAAAUAGUGCCACACGUAAAAUAUUAUAUCGAAGCAAAAUUUUUGGUAAGAAUUUUUGUACACAGUAUAAAAAAAAAAAAAAAACAACAACUUUGUAAGGGGGAUGGUAAACUCCUAAAAAAGUAGACAAUCUUCUCUGUUGACAUAGUGUCACUCCUCACUAGAUAGUUUUAAAGUUGUAAAAGAUAAAUUAAGGUAUUUUAAAAUAAGUAGAUAUCAAUUAAAAAUUACAAAAAUCAAAAGCAAAAUAUUUUAACGCAAUUUUUUUUUUCUAGUUAUUAAAAUAAGUAAAUGAAGUAAAUGAAUAAGUGUAAUGAAUUAAUAAUAUUAACUACGUACCGAAAAACACGUGUACAAAGGGAGAAAACAAACAACACUAUCAGGAAUAAUACAGUUAUUCAAUUAUUUUGUUCUGCGAUUACUGGUAUGAAUACUCAUAAGCCUUUUAUCAUUGAGUGACGAAAAAAAUUUUCAAUUUACGAAAAUAACGUAGACGUUAUCGAAAUGUUCGAGAAUUUCCGAUACGAUCCUUAUAUUAAUAUUAUUUUUUACUUAAUUCUAUUUUACAUUUUAACAUCCUACAUUCGUUAGUCUCUACGAAUAUUUAUCUAAAAUACAACAAAAAAGGUCUCUUAUUAUUUUUCCAUUAAAGAACUAUUUCUGGUAUAAAACGUCGUGCGUGUUUAUAUAAAAUAAUGAAAUCGUAAAAUCGUACGUUUUUUCCCACUUAAGUGCAAUUAUCUUAAAUAAACAUCAUUGCAAAACCUUAAACCAAUAUAAAUCCUCGCUACAUUUAGAAUCUAAAAUGUAAAAAUGUCUGUAUAGAAGAUUACGUUAUCUAUUUAUGACUGGUAAAGUCUGUAUAAGAGAUUAAACCAUCUAUUUUUGAAUGGUAAAAAGGUACUAUGUAGGAGUUUCAACUAUGUUUUUUUUAAAUACAGGUAAAAAGGUCAGUUCUAUAGAAGUUUGCAUGUAGCCCUCUGUAAAACAAAUAAAUUCUUCUUACACUAUCACUACACUCGGAGUCUAAAAGUAAUUCAAGUAAUUAAGGAGGUAAUCGUGGCAGCUCGGAGGAUCGUAACACAAAAGUAUUU